AUCAUGCUGGCCUCUAUAAGAUUGUAUUUUAAAGCGUAUUUAUUAUAGAGACAUCCAGCAACUUUUCUGGUUGUACAGUCAAAGGUGCUUGAGUCAUUGGCAUGUGAGAGAAGUACACCUGCUUGCUAGUCGAACGUUCUGAUGGAAAUGGCAUACGGUUGUGAUGUCAGUUGGUACUGUCAGGACCAGACUGGUGUGCGGACACU